rnacentral:rRNA from 1 species
CCUUUGACGUUAGCGGCGGACGGGUGAGUAACACGUGGGUAACCUACCUAUAAGACUGGGAUAACUUCGGGAAACCGGAGCUAAUACCGGAUAAUAUUUCGAACCGCAUGGUUCGAUAGUGAAAGAUGGUUUUGCUAUCACUUAUAGAUGGGCCCGCGCCGUAUUAGCUAGUUGGUAAGGUAACGGCUUACCAAGGCGACGAUACGUAGCCGACCUGAGAGGGUGAUCGGCCACACUGGAACUGAGACACGGUCCAGACUCCUACGGGAGGCAGCAGCC